rnacentral:rRNA from 1 species
GGACGGGUGAGUAACACGUGGGUAACCUGCCUGUAAGAUGGGGAUAACUCCGGGAAACCGGGGCUAAUACCGAAUAAUAAAAGAGGAAGCAUUUCUUCUUUUUGAAAGUUGGCUCACGCUAACACUUACAGAUGGGCCCGCGGCGCAUUAGCUAGUUGGUGAGGUAACGGCUCACCAAGGCGACGAUGCGUAGCCGACCUGAGAGGGUGAUCGGCCACACUGGGACUGAGACACGGCCCAGACUCCUACGGGAGGCAGCA